AACGUAGGAGACAAACGUUAUCCGGAGUUACUGGGCGUAAAGGGCGUGUAGGUGGUUUCGUAAGUCUGGCGUGAAAUAUCUCGGCUUAACCGAGGCAGGUCGUCGGAUACUGCGGGACUAGAGGACGGUAGAGGCGUGUGGAAUUCCGGGUGUAGUGGUGAAAUGCGUAGAUAUCUGGAGGAACACCGGUGGCGAAGGCGGCAUCCUGGACCAACACUGACACUGAGGAGCGAAAGCCAGGGGAGCAAACGGG
rnacentral:rRNA from 1 species